CAAAACUGAUAGGGAUGGGUUUGGAGGAGAGAUGGAAAUUGAACCAAGGCUGCAGCCUCUAUUUUAAGCAGAGAAUUGGUUUUGAGAAUACUGAAGAUUGCAGUUCAGGGGUGCAGUGCUGCUCUGGCACCUCUGUUUGG